GCCGAAGCGACUCCUGUCUCGUGAUCUCCCUCGAGAGCUGAAGUGAGGGCCCAGGAAACUCAAGUGUAGGGUUAGGGUUCCAGGCCGGCUUAAGUUUCGGUGGAGGGUUCUGGUUCGGGGUGGGGUUAGAGUUAGGUUUAGGUCCCCGGAGAGUCAAGGCGCUGAACCCACAGCAGGGCAGAGGUCUCCCCAAAGGGCUGAGUUGAGGGCACAAGGGAGGGUCCCGGUCAGGAACAGUCUUUGUCUAUCAAGGCCACACAACUCGAUGGGCCCCUGGUCGGGGAGUUCUCCUGAAUCCUCUCAGGUGGCUGCAGGCGGGCCAGGGAAACGACAUGGUGAGUUUCCAUAUUCCAUGCCGAAUGAGCCUGUACCGGUUCUAAACCCCAGGCGUAUGGUGUUGUCAGACUUUGGUAUUGGGUCCCCAUGGGGAGAGAGCCUUAGCUAGGGUUAGGAUUCGGUCAAGGGAUGUCACCAGGGCCUAAGCAAUUCCAGUCUCGGGUUCUCCCUCAAGAUCUGAAGUGAGGGCCCAUGGGACGGGGUGGUCAAGUGUAGGGUUAGGGUUGGAGGCCGGCUUAGGUUUUGGUUGCGGCUCCAUUUCGGGGAAGGGUUAGGGUUAGUGUUAAGUCCCAGGAAGCUCCAGGCUCUGAACACAGCAGGGCAAUGGUCUCCCCAUAGGGCUGAGUUGUGGGCACAAGGGUGGGUGCCGGUCAGGAUCAGUCUUUGGCUACCAAGGCCACACAGGUCGAUGGGCCUCUGGUCAGGGAGGCCUCGGGAAUUCUCACGUAGGUAGAGCCGGGACUGGGAAAAUACAUGGUGAGCUUCCAGGUUUCAUGUCGAGUGAGGCUCCACCACCCUGGCGUGUGGUGUUGUCAGAAUAUGGUAUUGGGUCCCCAUGGUGAGAGAGCAUUAGGUAGGGUAAGGGUUUGGUCCAGGGUCAUCGCCAUCCCGAAGCGACUCCAGGCUCUAGAUAUCCCUCGAGGGCUGAAAUGAGGGACCAUGAGACGGGGUGGCUCAAGUGUAGGGUUAGGGAUCAAAGCCGGCUUAGGUUUUGGAUGAGGGUUUCAGUUCGGGGUAGGGUUAGGGUUUGGGUUAGGUCCCAGGAGGUUCUAGGCGCCGAACCCACACCAGGGCAGUGGUCUUCCCAAAGGGCUGAGUUGAGGGCACAAGGGA